rnacentral:rRNA from 1 species
UACGUAGGGGGCAAGCGUUGUCCGGAUUUAUUGGGCGUAAAGAGCGUGUAGGCGGCCAGACAGGUCCGUUGUGAAAACUCGAGGCUCAACCUCGAGAUGUCGAUGGAAACCGUCUGGCUAGAGUCCGGAAGAGGAGACUGGAAUUCCUGGUGUAGCGGUGAAAUGCGCAGAUAUCAGGAGGAACACCGAUGGCGAAGGCAGGUCUCUGGGCAUUAACUGACGCUGAGGAGCGAAAGCAUGGGGAGCGAACAGG